GCUGGGGACAUGGCUCAAUGGUAGAGCUCUUGCCUAGCAUGCACAAAGCCCUGGGUUCAAUCCCCAGCAGUA
rnacentral:tRNA from 1 species